rnacentral:rRNA from 1 species
GCCAAACCCUAGCCCAAACCCCUAUCCUUCCCAAUCACUAAAAACGUAUACUAUUACCAAACCAAAGCAUUCUUCCAUCCUAGUAUAGGCGAUAGAAAAGAACCUAGGCGCUAUAGAAACUUGUACCGUAAGGGAAAGAUGAAAUAAAAAUGAAAACCAAAGCAACCAAUAGCAAAGAUCAACUCUUGUACCUCUUGCAUCAUGAUUCAGCAAGAACAACCAGGCAAAACGAACUAAAGCCUGCCUCCCCGAAACCCAAGCGAGCUACUUGUAAGCAGCUAUUAAUGAGCAAACCCGUCUCUGUUGCAAAAGAGUGGGAAGACUUGCUAGUAGAGGUAAAAAGCCAACCGAGCUGGGUGAUAGCUGGUUGCCUGCAAAACGAGUCUCAGCUCCACCUUCACUUCCUUUCCACAUCCGAACUAAUUAACCUAACCCUAAUGUAACAAGUCAAGAGCAAUUUAAAGAGGGUACAGCUUCUUUAAAAAAGAACACAACCUCCUCCAGCGGAUAACUUUUCUCCAUUAAAUCUAUGUGGGCCCCCAAGCAGCCAACACCAAAGAGUGCGUCAAAGCUCCAUACAAAAAAUAUACAAACACUGCAAACUCCCUCAACAAUAGCUGGCUAACCUAUACACAUAGAAGAAUCGAUGCUGAAAUGAGUAACUAGGGUAAACCCUCUCAAGCGCAAGUCUAUGUACACUUUAGCGGACCACAACUAAUACUACACCACAACUAGCCUAAAUAUUAAACUCCACCCCCGUCAGCCCAAACCACCGGAGCGCCUGCUAGAAAGAUAAAAAUCUGUAAAAGGAACUAGGCAAACCCAAGACCCGACUGUUUACCAAAAACAUAGCCUUCAGCCAACCAAGUAUUGAAGGUGAUGCCUGCCCAGUGACACCUCGUUCAACGGCCGCGGUACCCUAACCGUGCAAAGGUAGCGCAAUCAAUUGUCUCAUAAAUCGAGACCUGUAUGAAUGGCUCAACGAGGUCUUAACUGUCUCUUACAGAUAAUCAGUGAAAUUGAUCUUCCUGUGCAAAAGCAGGAAUAAUUACACAAGACGAGAAGACCCUGUGGAACUUAAAAAUCACCGACCACAGAAACAAGCUUCACACUCCCACCGGGUCCACUCCCUCCCCCUGGUUCACAUUUUUUCGGUUGGGGCGACCUUGGAGAAAAACAAAACCUCCAAAAAUAAGACCUUAACUCUUAACCAAGAGCAACUAUUCAAAGUACUAAAAGUUACCAGACCCAGUAUAACUGAUCAAUGAACCAAGCUACCCCAGGGAUAACAGCGCAAUCUCCUUUAAGAGCCCCUAUCGACAAGGAGGUUUACGACCUCGAUGUUGGAUCAGGACAUCCUAGUGGUGCAGCCGCUACCAAGGGUUCGUUUGUUCAACGACUAACAGUCCUACGUGAUCUGAGUUCAGACCGGAGCAAUCCAGGUCGGUUUCUAUCUGUGAUACACUUCCCCCAGUACGAAAGGACCGGAGAAGUAAGGCCAAUACUACAAGCACGCCUUCCCCACAAAAUAAUGAACACAACUAAACUACCAAAAGGAUACCAAUUAAUUACCCCAUAUAGACCCCCUACAAAAGGGAA